AUAUAUCGCCUGUUCCUUCUACUGUUGUCUGCUGUGUGCAUGCAAUGCGUAGACAAAAACUUGGCAGUGUCCAAAGGCGCUUGUCGACCCAGAAACGCACCAUAUUUAUGUAAUGUUGCCGGCACUUGGACUUAUAUUAAACAGCUGGGAAAGUGCAUUCCAGUACAAAUAAAACAGGCACCAUGCGGAUUUUUUAAUAGUGAACAAUUUUGUCUGAGAUCUUGUAAAAAUGCCAAAGGAGUUACACCGCAGAAGAUAAAGUAUUUGGACCUCAAUUAUGUUACAAUUCCUGUAGCAUUACUUACACCAACUUUGUCAAAACGAAAUUUGAAUUAAAUAUCUUAAUUGCCAAACAUGUAAUAAGUAGAAUCUCUUCUACUUAUAGGCUCAGCUAAGAAAAUAACAUAUUAUUUUAUGUUAAUUGGACGUGUAAUAAGUAGAAUCUUUUCUACUUAUAGGCUUAGCUUAGAAAAUAACAUAUUAUUUGAUGUUUGAAAUGCAUAGGAGGAGCGUUUUUAAAGGGAAACCUCUUAAAGAUUGCAGCUUGGUGGAUGACUUUAUAAUCCUUGGCGGAUGAGGGAUGAACAUCUGUAAUGUCGAUUAGUAGAAAGUUCUCAUCGAACGGAGAACAUUACGCAUUGUUAUAUUAGAAAAUAAUUAUAGCUACAUUUUGAAAAAUAAAUAAAUGAGCUAUUAUGUGUAUAUAUGUA